AAUAAGUAAAACAAUAUGUGUGAUUCCUUCCAAUUCCAUUUGCUUAGUUUAUUUUCAUCGUCCCUUAAAGAAAUUAAGAACAAGUGGCAUUGGAGGUAUCCCAUGUAAUGUUUUUUACUGUG
rnacentral:pre_miRNA from 1 species